GUCUGCGUGGCGCAAUGGUAGCGCGUUGGACUUCUAAACCACUCUACGCCGGUACAGGCUCGGCGAAGGUUAGGAGUUUAUCCAAAGGUUGUGGGUUCGAGCCCCACCGUGGAUG